rnacentral:rRNA from 1 species
UACGUAGGGGGCUAGCGUUGUUCGGAAUCACUGGGCAUAAAGCGCACGUAGGCGGCGGCGUAAGUUGGAUGUGAAAUCCCCCGGCCCAACCGGGGAACUGCGUCCAGUACUGCGUUGCUUGAGGAUCCAAGGGGUGCAUGGAAUUCCCGGUGGAGCGGUGAAAUGCGUUGAUAUCGGGAGGAACUCCGGCGGCGAAAGCGGUGCACUGGUGGAUUACUGACGCUGAGGUGCGAAAGCCAGGGGAGCAAACGGG